CUGCUUCCAAGGCUCUUUCAGAAUAUUAUCAUAUUAAGGCCUCUCCAGACAAAAAAAUACAGUUUGAGCAAACACAAUCCCCUGGUUACCCCACCCAGGAGUGCCCAGACCACCAUAGGGCACGUUUUGGAAAUCCUGAGAACAGGUAAUGAAAUGAUGCACAUCAACUGUCUUCUGCUCUCUGUUGACUGCUACAGGAAACACCACCAUUGACAGAGCUUUAUGCUGAAAACCUGAUGGCACCUGCUUCCCUCCAGCUGCUCCCAACAGGGAGACCGGGGAGGCUCUGAUGCAACCAUGGUCUCUGCAUCAUUUUGCUUGUGAAGCUGCAGCCCUCACUGCUCUGUCUCCAGUGAAUGAUACUGAAAAUGACCUAGAUUUAAGAUCAACUUCCAAAACCAUUCAAAGGUGAAGCUUCAGGAUGGCUAAGUUGGACCUGUCUUAAAGUGAAACUAAUUCAUUGGUGCUGGAGUAAUUUAAGGACUUCCUAUAAGCCAUCACUAAAGCUACUUGCCAGGAUGACCUAUGCAGGACAAGCUAGAGUGAGAAAAAUUAACUGGAAGAGGUGGUUCAUUUUAAUUUUUCUUCAACUAUUUUCCCACACUGCUAAAUAAUAAUGAAAAGCAAAACAGCCUGCCCAACAUUACUUCAGCCUGCCACCAGUGCUACCACCAGUGCUGAUGGGCUCAGCAGUGGAUUCACAGGUCAGUUCAUAACACACA